rnacentral:rRNA from 1 species
GACGAACGCUGGCGGCGUGCCUAAUACAUGCAAGUCGAGCGGAUCUGAUGGAGUGCUUGCACUCCUGAUGGUUAGCGGCGGACGGGUGAGUAACACGUAGGUAACCUGCCCGACAGACCGGGAUAACAUUCGGAAACGAAUGCUAAUACCGGAUACGCGAUUUGGUCACAUGGCCGAAUCGGGAAAGACGGAGCAAUCUGUCACUGUUGGAUGGACCUGCGGCGCAUUAGCUAGUUGGUGAGGUAACGGCUCACCAAGGCGACGAUGCGUAGCCGACCUGAGAGGGUGAUCGGCCACACUGGGACUGAGACACGGCCCAGACUCCUACGGGAGGCAGCAGUAGGGAAUCUUCCGCAAUGGGCGAAAGCCUGACGGAGCAACGCCGCGUGAGUGAUGAGGGUUUUCGGAUCGUAAAGCUCUGUUGCCAGGGAAGAACGCUUAGGAGAGUAACUGCUCCUAAGGUGACGGUACCUGAGAAGAAAGCCCCGGCUAACUACGUGCCAGCAGCCGCAGUAA